CCUACGGGUGGCAGCAGUGAGGAAUAUUGGUCAAUGGCCGAGAGGCUGAACCAGCCAAGUCGCGUGAGGGAAGAAUGUCCUAUGGAUUGUAAACCUCUUUUGUCAGGGAGCAAAGUCACCCACGUGUGGGUGUUGGAGAGUAUCUGAAGAAAAAGCAUCGGCUAACUCCGUGCCAGCAGCCGCGGUAAUACGGAGGAUGCGAGCGUUAUCCGGAUUUAUUGGGGUUAAAGGGUGCGCAGGCGGGAGAUAAAGUCAGCGGGAAAAUGUCGGGGCUCAACCCCGGCCGGCCGUUGAAACUGGUUUUCUAGAGUUGGAGAGAAGUAUGCGGAAUUCGUGGUGUAGCGGUGAAAUGCAUAGAUAUCACGAAGAACUCCGAUUGCGAAGGCAGCAUACCGGCUCCAUACUGACGCUGAGGCACGAAAGCGUGGGGAUCGAACAGGAUUAGAUACCCGAGUAGUC
rnacentral:rRNA from 1 species